rnacentral:rRNA from 1 species
GGAUGCUAAUACCGCAUACGUCCUACGGGAGAAAGCAGGGGAUCUUCGGACCUUGCGCUAAUAGAUGAGCCUAAGUCGGAUUAGCUAGUUGGUGGGGUAAAGGCCUACCAAGGCGACGAUCUGUAGCGGGUCUGAGAGGAUGAUCCGCCACACUGGGACUGAGACACGGCCCAGACUCCUACGGGAGGCAGCAGUGGGGAAUAUUGGACAAUGGGGGGAACCCUGAUCCAGCCAUGCCGCGUGUGUGAAGAAGGCCUUAUGGUUGUAAAGCACUUUAAGCGAGGAGGAGGCUACUGAGACUAAUACUCUUGGAUAGUGGACGUUACUCGCAGAAUAAGCACCGGCUAACUCUGUGCCAGCAGCCGCGGUAAUACAGAGGGUGCGAGCGUUAAUCGGAUUUACUGGGCGUAAAGCGUGCGUAGGCGGCUUUUUAAGUCGGAUGUGAAAUCCCCGAGCUUAACUUGGGAAUUGCAUUCGAUACUGGGAAGCUAGAGUAUGGGAGAGGAUGGUAGAAUUCCAGGUGUAGCGGUGAGAUGCGUAGAGAUCUGGAG